GACGAACCGUGCGAACGUUAUUCGGAAUCACUGGGCUUAAAGCGCGUGUAGGCGGAUGGGGACGUCGGUCGCUGAAAUCCCCCGGCUCAACCGGGGAACGGGCGCCGAAACGCCCCGUCUCGAGGGACGUAGGGGGACCUGGAACUUCCGGUGGAGCGGUGAAAUGCGCAGAUAUCAGGAAGAACACCCGUGGCGAAGGCGGCUCUCUGGGACGGUACUGACGCUGAGACGCGAAAGCGUGGGGAGCGAACAGG
rnacentral:rRNA from 1 species